rnacentral:rRNA from 1 species
UACGGAGGGUGCAAGCGUUGCUCGGAAUUACUGGGCGUAAAGCGCGUGUAGGCGGUUUCGUGUGUCUGAUGUGAAAUCCCCGGGCUCAACCCGGGAAGUGCAUUGGAAACUGCGAGACUAGAGUCCCGGAGAGGAAGGUGGAAUUCCAGGUGUAGCGGUGAAAUGCGUAGAUAUCAGGAAGAACACCCGUGGCGAAGGCGGCUCUCUGGAACGCAACUGACGCUGAGACGCGAAAGCGUGGGGAGCAAACAGG